GGGCGUGUGGUCUAGUGGUAUGAUUCUCGCUUUGGGCGACGACUUGAGAAAAGUUGACACAAGCAUGCGAGAGGCCCUGGGUUCAAUUCCCAGCUCGCCCC